rnacentral:lncRNA from 1 species
UGAUUUGGGUUCCUGAAGAAAGAAGCGGAGUUAGGAUUUGGGAGUAAACAAUUUAUUUGGGAGGUAAAGGAGACUCCAGUAGAUGGGGAAGAAUGAUAGCUAACGAAGAAUACGUGACUCACUCAUUCACUUUCCAUGUUGACAUAGAGAGCUUAGUGCUGGUGGAAACUGUUGGAGACUGGACAUUUGCCUCAGAGUUUCCUCAGCUGAGUGGGAAAGGAGCUGGGAUAUUUCUCUGCUACUUCUGACCAUCACGGACUUCUGCUGGAGACACUGGUCAUCAAGUAAUGCAGGUGCCCUCCUUCAGAGGAAGUGUCCAUGUAGCUCAGGUGGGGCUAAGUUGUUCUUACACACGUUCACGCGACCGGCCAGGAAAGACGCAACAAACCGGAAUCUUCUGCGGCAAAAGCU